CUCACCACACCGCAGAGAAACAUGAAGGUCGCAGUGCUCAGCAUGGCCCUGCUCUUCACCAUCCUGCUGUGCACCCCAGCAAAUGCUCAGGUAGUUAUAGAAGAGAGUGGAGAUUACCUGGACGGGGAACUCAAAAUAGAGGAAGGGAAGAAGCCUG